UUGAUGAUUGUAUUCCAUGAUGUCUUUACCAUGUUUCUCUUUCCUCUCUCAACUGGUGGUUAGUUCUUCUGGAUUAAGUAUAAGUGACUUGUGUGUUAAGCAUCCCUCUCUUGUGUAAUCUUAAUGUUCCUUCCAAAAUGUAUACAUAAGUACAUUUGAAAGUUUCCACCAGUACUUUUAUAGCACUCCCAAUUCCUUCAUAUUCUCUCCAAUUUAAACUUUAUGCCAAAUUCAUAUGAACUCAUUUUUUAAAAAGUACUUUUUAGGGGAAAGAGGGAAUAUAUUUAGAGGCUGUGAAGGAAAAGGACAUGCCAAUAUGACGUGAAAGAAGGCUAGAUUGGGCAGAAGACAAAAAUAGAAGCAAUUAUAAAAUUUACUUGGGUAGAAAGAAGAGCCGUUGGACAGGGAAUGAGGCAAGGUGAGGACUGCCUGACAGAAGAGGUAGGGUGGGGGGAGGGCGGUGAGUGUGGAAAACAGUUGCACCCAGGGAUCCUCAAAAGCCAGUCCAGAUCCCAGGGGCACAUGAAGGGCUUGUGAGAAAUAGUUUCCUGUCCUGACCUAUCAAAUCAGGAUCUCUGGAGAAAGUGCCCUGGAACACGCUUGACAGCCAUCCCCUGGAUGUCCCGUGGGUUUAGAAACCACUGAACUGCUUGUGGUGCCUUACAUUCCCACAGUUUCUACGUGUACAAUGCACUUUCAUUCUUGGUGUGCACUUGGUGGUCUACCUAUGUGUGAUUUCCUUUCAUGGCUGAGACAUUAAUGCACAGUGGCUAAGCACUCCAACAAACGUAACCUCUGGGGAGGAGAGUGGGGUUUACACUUUUAUACGUGACACCAUUUUUAUACCAAUUACGCCCAUAGAGUCGCCAGGCUCAGAAAGAAUUGGAUCUUGGACAAGAAAAAUGAAAACAAAAUUUGUAAAUUAUUUACAAGUUUCAGUACUCUGUUUUCAGUCAUAAAACUAGACUUCACCCA